rnacentral:rRNA from 1 species
UCAGGUAGGACUACCCGCUGAACUUAAGCAUAU